CCUACGGGUGGCAGCAGUGGGGAAUAUUGGUCAAUGGGCGCAAGCCUGACCCAGCAACGCCGCGUGAAGGAAGAAGGCUUUCGGGUUGUAAACUUCUUUUGUCAGGGACGAAGCAAGUGACGGUACCUGACUACUAAGCCACCGCUAACUACGUGCCAGCAGCCGCGGUAAUACGUAGGUGGCAAGCGUUAUCCGGAUUUACUGGGUGUACAGGGCGUGUAGGCGGGACGGCAAGUCAGAUGUGAAAACCACGGGCUCAACCUGUGGCCUGCAUUUGAAACUGUAGUUCUUGAGUACUGGAGAGGCAGACGGAAUGCCUAGUGUAGCGGUGAAAUGCGUAGAUAUUAGGAGGAACACCAGUGGCGAAGGCGGUCUGCUGGACAGCAACUGACGCUGAGGCGCGAAAGCGUGGGGAGCAAACAGGAUUAGAUACCCGUGUAGUC
rnacentral:rRNA from 1 species